rnacentral:rRNA from 1 species
ACCUUACCUAAGCUUGACAUCCUUUUGACCGAUGCCUAAUCGCAUCUUUCCCUUCGGGGACAGAAGUGACAGGUGGUGCAUGGUUGUCGUCAGCUCGUGUCGUGAGAUGUUGGGUUAAGUCCCGCAACGAGCGCAACCCUUGCCUUUAGUUGCCAGCAUUAAGUUGGGCACUCUAGAGGGACUGCCAGGGAUAACCUGGAGGAAGGUGGGGAUGACGUCAAAUCAUCAUGCCCCUUAUGCUUAGGGCUACACACGUGCUACAAUGGGUGGUACAGAGGGCAGCCAAGUCGUGAGGCGGAGCUAAUCCCUUAAAGCCAUUCUCAGUUCGGAUUGUAGGCUGAAACUCGCCUACAUGAAGUUGGAGUUACUAGUAAUCGCAGAUCAGAAUGCUGCGGUGAAUGCGUUCCCGGGUCUUG